AGUGAACGCUGGCGGUAGGCCUAACACAUGCAAGUCGAACGGCAGCACAGUAAGAGCUUGCUCUUACGGGUGGCGAGUGGCGGACGGGUGAGGAAUACAUCGGAAUCUACUUUUUCGUGGGGGAUAUCGUAGGGAAACUUACGCUAAUACCGCAUACGACCUACGGGUGAAAGCAGGGGAUCUUCGGACCUUGCGCGAUUGAAUGAGCCGAUGUCGGAUUAGCUAGUUGGCGGGGUAAAGGCCCACCAAGGCGACGAUCCGUAGCUGGUCUGAGAGGAUGAGCAGCCACACUGGAACUGAGACACGCUCCAGACUCCUACGGGAGGCAGCAGUGAGUAAUAGUGGACAGUGGGCGCAGGGAUGAUCCAGCCAUACCGCGUGGAUGAAGGCCUUCGGGUUGUAAAGCCCUUUUGUUGGGAAAGAAAAGCAGCAGGUUAAUACCCCGCUGUUCUGACGGUACCCAAAGAAUAAGCACCGGCUAACUUCGUG
rnacentral:rRNA from 1 species